rnacentral:rRNA from 1 species
UGAGGAAUUUUGCGCAAUGGGAGCAAUCCUGACGCAGCAACGCCGCGUGGGUGAUGAAGGCCUUCGGGUUGUAAAGCGCUUUUUGAGAGGAUGAGGAAGGACAGUACUCUUAGAAUAAGCCUCGGCUAACUACGUGCCAGCAGCCGCGGUAAAACGUAGGAGGCGAGCGUUAUCCGGAUUUACUGGGCGUAAAGCGUGUGUAGGCGGUUUGAUAAGUUGGAUGUGAAAGCUCCUGGCUUAACUGGGAGAGGUCGUUCAAAACUAUCAGACUUGAGAGUGGUAGAGGGAGGUGGAAUUCCGCAUGUAGUGGUGAAAUGCGUAGAUAUGCGGAGGAACACCAGUGGCGAAAGCGGCCUCCUGGACCACUCCUGACACUCAGACGCGAAAGCUAGGGUAGCAAACG